GGAGUUCGAUUAUGGCUCAGAUUGAACGCUGGCGGGAUGCUUUACCACAUGCAAGUCGAACGGCAGCACGGACUUCGGUCUGGUGGCGAGUGGCGAACAGGUGAGUAAUGUAUUGGAACGUGCCUAGUAGCGGGGGAUAACUACGCGAAAGCGUAGCUAAUGCCGCAUACGCCCUUCGAGGAAAGCAGGGGGACCUUCCGGGCCUCGCACUAUUAGAGCGGCCGAUAUCGGAUUGGCUAGUUGGUGGGGUAACGGCUCACCAAGGCGACGAUCCGUAGCUGGUUUUGAAGGGACAGCCAGCCACACUGGGACUGAGACACGGCCCCAGCGAACUCUACCGGGAGGCAGCAGUGGGGAAUUUUGGACAAUGGGGAAACCCUGAUCCAGCCAUCCCGCGUGUGCGAUGAAGGCCUUCGGGUUGUAAAGCACUUUUUGGCAGGAAAGAAACGGCACGGGAUAAUACCCCGUGCAACUGACGGUACCUGCAGAAUAAGCACCAGCUAACUACGUGCCAGCAGCCGCGGUAAUACACGUGGUGCAAGCGUUAAUCAGAUUACUGGAAGGCGUAAAGCGUGCGCGAGCGGUUCCGGAAAAGAAAGAUGUGAAAUCCCAGAGCUUAACUUUGGAACUGCAUUUUUAACUACCGAGCUAGAGUGUGUCAGAGGGAGGUGGAAUUCCACAUGUGUAGCAGUGAAAUGCGUAGAUAUGCGGAGGAACACCAGUGCUUGAAGGCAGCCUCCUGGGAUAACACUGACGCUCAUGCACUGGCAUGGGAGCAAACGGGAUUAGAUACCCUGGUAGUCCACGCCUAAACGAUGUCGCUAGCUGUUGGGGCCUUCGGGCAGCGGUAGCGCAGCUAACGUGAAGUUGACCGCCUGGGGAGAUACGGUCGCAAGAUUAAAACUCAAGGAAUUGACGGGGACCCGCACAAGCGGUGGAUGAUGUGGAUUAAUUCGAUGCAACGCGAAAAACCUUACCUACCCUUGACAUGUCUGGAAUCGAAGAGAUUUGGGAGUGCUCGCAAGAAGAGAACCGGAACACAGGUGCUGCAUGGCUGUCGUCAGCUCGUGUCGUGAGAUGUUGGGUUGAUCCCGCAACGAGCGCAGCCCUUGUCGGUAGUUGCUACGAAGGCACUCUGGCGGGACUGCCGGUGACAAACCGGAGGAAGGUGGGGAUGACGUCAGGUCCUCAUGGCCCAUAUGGGUAGGGCUUCACACGUCAUACAAUGGUCAGGACAGAGGUCGCCAGCGCGAGGAGUCAAUCCAGGAAACCCGAUCGUAGUCCGGAUCAUGAUCGUCGACUGCGUGAAGUCCGGAAUCGCUAGUAAUCGCGGAUCAGCAUGUCGCGGUGAAUACGUUCCCGGGUCUUGUACACACCGCCCGUCACACCAUGGGGAGUGGGUUUUGCACCAGAAGUAGUUAGCCUAACCGUAAGGAGGGCGAUUACCACAGUAGGAUUCGUGACUGGGGUGAAGUCGUAACAAGGUAA
rnacentral:rRNA from 1 species